UUCAGAUAUCCUGCAAUUUCAGUAACAGUCUACAUUUGCACCCGUCACUGUUUAUAUUUACGGUUGUAUUAGUAAUGAGUAGCCCAGAUAGAAAGAUUUAUCUGCAAGCUACAACCAUGCAAACAUGUGCAACUGGAGUGUGGUCACUAAACAGACUAUAAUUACUUUUUAUUUCGUCCCUUUGCUCAGUGCCUCGAGAAUCUAAACAGCUUGCCUUCCGUGAGGAUGGGCGGCAGUGGAAGCUUCCUGGUUGCUUGCAACAACACAGAUUGUCUGAAUCUUCCUGGUAGGAUGUAUGCCUACUUUGCUUACUAGCUUAUUUUACAGAUCUAAAAAUUGCUGUAAAACAGCAAAGUAAUUAUCAGAUUUACCAACAAAAAUAGAGCCAUGAAAUUACUUAUCUGUUCCAUAUUAUUUGAGCGUUCACAACCAGAAAUGACUAUUUAUGUGUAUGUAUUGUCAACAAACAUAAUACGCAUCCGGGCUUCAUUUAAAAGCACACACCUUGGACCUAACGCAUUAGCCUUUACCCUCACAGAGUCCAGCUGAAAUCAGUGGGACCAAUGUGCCAACAACCCUUUAAUGCAUCCUCAUAAUUCAAAAAGAAAGGCUUUGCUGUUCUAUUGCAUAGCAAGAUUCCUAUUGUUUAGCUAUAUACUCAGACCCUUAUUUACAUCCACCUGUUUACAGCCAUGUACUCUUUACUUUUCAGUAGUAAUCAAGGCUCAAAGCUUGGAAUUAAUCUGCGUUCAAUCCCAAAUCUAUCUGUAGCCAGGAACAGAUCAACAAACAUUUCUGAAGCUUUUCCCUCAUUUUUAAGGUAGCAAAUCAAUUUUAUGUUACACUCUUUCUUUCUCUUUUUCUCUCUUUUUCUUUCUCUCUUUCUCUCUCUCUCUUCUUCUCAGAAGAUGGUGUAGUGACAGAAUUGCAGAAAAGCAAUUUCCCCUUUUUCUUUCUAAAACAAAGUUCACACUGUCAUCAGCUGACUUUAUUUAAAGGCCAAAAAAAAAAAAAAAAAGCUUGAAAUAUAGCUAGACACUCCAGCCUGUAUGUUCGUAGAGCUGAUCGUACCAUUUUGUUGCCGAACACAGCAAAGAGCACAUGUGGAGUUGGAGUUGUGCGCAUAAACAUUUGCCUUGCAGAAAGAAGUGUUUCCACCAGGAUGCUCUCAAGGAGGAUUAAAUAGCGGCAUGAACCCUCCAGCUUGCUGGAUGUGCUGGAGUGAAUCAGAAAGGGCAAGUUUCCUGAAGGCCUGGGUCACCAGCGUGGAAAGCUGUGCCACAGCACGCGUGCCCCUCUGUCAGUCGGCACGAGGUCCCUGCAGGUGCCUGCUCUCUGUGCACCUGGGAACAGCAACUGCAAACCCGAGUGGGUGCCUGCCAGCACACCACAUCCCUCUCACGCGAAGUAAUGCCCUCCUCAUCCCGCAAAGUUUCUUGAAAAGCAGAAAGGGACUACUGACUACCUCAAGAAAUGUCCUGAAAUAAUCCAAAAUGAAUGCCUAUAGAAUGCAAAUUACACUUUUUCUGUCAGAGAUGAACCUUUCAGACCAUGUUCUAAGGCAGACACCCUAGCACUGUUUCUACCCAUCUUCCCUUGAGACAGGAAUAUGACAAAGGAAAAUGGAAACUCCCAGUAACCACUUCAAAAAUGAGCUAGUAAGGAAAUCCAUUAACUGCUCUUCUUAUCUCACUCCUUCGGAAUCAGAUAUGUCCCUGGGAAUUACUGUGCUGUGCAUAUAGCAGCAGUUCAAUCACAGGAACUAGAAGACUGUAACAGUUCUUAGGUGGCUUCUUUUGAUGGGUGGAAUAAAUGUUACCACAACUGCUACCAACCUUGGUGUGAAAAGCUGUACAGAUCACGAAUUUUCAUCUGACGAAUUUUCUGAGCUCUCAGUUGGGUUGAAAGCAUCUGUCCGGGUACCAACCAGAGCCACCGGCCCACUUGUGCAGGGGCGGAGGUGCGAGGCUGAGGCUGCAGUGGCCCCUAGCGGGGGAGGCUUUGUCAUCGCGGAGCCUCUGUCGCAGGGGCUGUGCACAGCUUCUGCACAGGCACCUCCUGCCGAAUGGGAGGUGACCUCAGAAGGGGAGAACCCCAGCUUGCUAGGUUUUCAAUUUUCAUUUGCCAGCUUUCAAUUUUCCAUCUGAUUUUCAAAUGUUGUUCAAUAAAAAUGUUGGUAGAAA